AGAAUCAACGCUGGCGGCGUGCCUAACACAUGCAAGUCGAACGAGAAAGUGGAGCAAUCCAUGAGUAAAGUGGCGCACGGGUGAGUAACACGUGACUAACCUACCCUCGAGUGGGGAAUAACUUCGGGAAACCGAGGCUAAUACCGCAUAAAACCUAAGGGUCAAAGGAGCAAUCCGUUUGAGGAGGGGGUCGCGGCAGAUUAGUUAGUUGGCGGGGUAAUGGCCCACCAAGACGAUGAUCUGUAUCCGGCCUGAGAGGGCGCACGGACACACUGGAACUGAAACACGGUCCAGACUCCUACGGGAGGCAGCAGUGGGGAAUUUUGCGCAAUGGGGGAAACCCUGACGCAGCAACGCCGCGUGGAGGAUGAAAUCCCUUGGGAUGUAAACUCCUUUCGAUCGGGAAGAUAAUGACGGUACCGGAAGAAGAAGCCCGGCUAACUUCGCGCCAGCAGCCGC
rnacentral:rRNA from 1 species